rnacentral:rRNA from 1 species
AGUGAACGCUGGCGGCGUGCCUAAUACAUGCAAGUCGAACGAUGAAGUCCUAGCUUGCUAGGAUGGAUUAGUGGCGCACGGGUGAGUAAUAUAUAGUUAAUCUGCCCUACACAGAGGAACAACAGUUGGAAACGACUGCUAAUACCUCAUACUCCUAUUUGACAUAAGUUAAAUAGGGAAAGUCUUUUCGGUGUAGGAUGAGACUAUAUCGUAUCAGCUAGUUGGUAAGGUAAUGGCUACCAAGGCUAUGACGCGUAACUGGUCUGAGAGGAUGAUCAGUCACAUUCGAACUGAGACACGGUCCAAACUCCUACGGGAGGCAGCAGUAAGGAAUAUUGCGCAAUGGGGGAAACCCUGACGCAGCAACGCCGCGUGGAGGAGGACACUUUUCGGAGCGUAAACUCCUUUUAUCAGGAAAGAAUAAUGACGGUACCUGAUGAAUAAGCACCGGCUAACUCCGUG